rnacentral:rRNA from 1 species
UAACGCGAAGAACCUUACCACCUUUUGACAUGCCUGGACCGCUGCAGAGAUGCAGCUUUCCCUUCGGGGACUAGGACACAGGUGCUGCAUGGCUGUCGUCAGCUCGUGUCGUGAGAUGUUGGGUUAAGUCCCGCAACGAGCGCAACCCUCGCUAUUAGUUGCCAUCAGGUUUGGCUGGGCACUCUAAUAGGACUGCCGGUGGUAAGCCGGAGGAAGGUGGGGAUGACGUCAAGUCCUCAUGGCCCUUACAAGGUGGGCUACACACGUGCUACAAUGGCGACUACAGAGGGUUGCAACCCCGCGAGGGUGAGCUAAUCCCCAAAAGUCGUCUCAGUUCGGAUUGCACUCUGCAACUCGAGUGCAUGAAGUUGGAAUCGCUAGUAAUCGCGGAUCAGCACGCCGCGGUGAAUACGUUCCCGGGUCUUGUACACACCGA